rfam:Oryza sativa Japonica Group DNA, chromosome 2, cultivar: Nipponbare, complete sequence.
CUUUGUGAUCUUCCACAGCUUUCUUGAACUGCACGCAUGAUGAAUAAUCCCUUUGGUUAAUUGUGAUCUGGUCUCUGAGAGAUCGUAGUUAGACUCGAUCGGUUGCAUUGGCAUCAGAGAGAGCAGUUCAAUAAAGCUGUGGGAAAUUGCAGAGA